rnacentral:lncRNA from 1 species
AAUAUUUAGACACUAUAUACAUUAUUUGUACUAAAAAUUAUUUUCAAUAUUGUGACAAGCACACUUUUUAAUAUUUUUAAAGUAAAAUAAAAAAAUAUUUUAAAUUCAUUUAUAAUUUCUUUAUUCAUAUUAUGUUUAAUUCAAAUGAGUUCAUUUCUGAGAUGUCUAAAUACCCCUUGAUGUAUUGGCAAGUUAAUGGGAACAAAUUUCCUCUCCUAUCAAUAUAAUGAUCUUCUAAUCAUAAAACUUCCAUGUCCUGAUCAAGCAAUAUCUUGCACAACAUUAGCUCCUGUCGAAAGACUAUUUACAAUUACUGUUUUC